AUGAUUCCUCCCACAGCAAAGUCAACAGCACUGUCAACAGCACAGUCAAGGCUGAGAAUGGGAAAUUUGUCAUUAAGGGAAAGCCCAUCUCCAUCUUCCAGGAGCAAGAAUCCCACCAACAUCAAAUGGUGUGAUGCUAGUGUUGAGUAUGUUGUAGAGUCCACUGGGGUCUUAGCACCAUGAAGAAAGCUGGGGCUCACUUGAAGGGUGGGGCCAAGAGGGUCAUCAUCUCUGCUCUUUCUGUUGAUGCCAUGUUAGUGAUGGGCAUGAACUACAAGAAGUAUGACAACUCCCUCAAGGUUGUCAGCAAUGACUUCUGCAUCACCAACUGCUUGGCCCCUCUGGCCAAGGUCAUCCCUGACAACUUUGGCAUUGUGGAGGGACUCAUGACCACAGUCCAGGCCAUCACUGCCACCCAGAAGACCAUGGAUGGCCCCUCUGGGAAGCUGUGGAGUGGUGGCCAAGGGGCUGCCCAGGACAUCAUCCCUGCACUGCCACAGCUGUAGGCAAGGUCAUCCCUGAGCUGAAUGGGAAGCUCACUGGCAUGGCCUUCCAUGUCCCCACCCCCAAUGUGUCAGUUGUGGAUCUGACCUGCUGCCUGGAGAAAGCUGCCAAAUAUGAUGACAUCAAGAAGGUAGUGAAGCAGGCAUUGGACGACCCCCUCAAAGGCAUCCUGGGCUACACUGAGGACCAGGUUGUCUCCUGUGACUUUCACAGUGACACCCAUUCUUUUAUCUUCAAUGCUGGGGCUGGCAUUGCUCUCAAUGACCACUUUGUCAAGCUUAUUUCUUGGUAUGGCAACGAGUUUGGUCCACAUGACCUCCAAGGAGUAAGAGGCCCUGGACCACCAGCCCCAGAGAGAGCAGGAGGAAGAGAGAGGCCCUCAGCUUCUGGGGAGUCCUUGACCCAACUCAUCCCCUAA